rnacentral:rRNA from 1 species
UAGGGAAUCUUCCGCAAUGGACGCAAGUCUGACGGAGCAACGCCGCGUGAGUGAAGAAGGAUUUCGGUUCGUAAAACUCUGUUAUUAGAGAAGAACAGCGCAUAGAGUAACUGUUAUGCGUGUGACGGUAUCUAACCAGAAAGCCACGGCUAACUACGUGCCAGCAGCCGCGGUAAUACGUAGGUGGCAAGCGUUGUCCGGAUUUAUUGGGCGUAAAGCGAGCGCAGGCGGUCAAUUAAGUCUGAUGUGAAAGCCCCCGGCUCAACCGGGGAGGGUCAUUGGAAACUGGUUGACUUGAGUGCAGAAGAGGAGAGUGGAAUUCCAUGUGUAGCGGUGAAAUGCGUAGAUAUAUGGAGGAACACCAGUGGCGAAGGCGACUCUCUGGUCUGUAACUGACGCUGAGGCUCGAAAGCGUGGGUAGCAAACAGG